CAUCUUAUAAUUCGACCUUCAAAAUGCGAAUUAAUGUGACUGGCUAACUGCUGAUAAGAGGCAAUCCACUCAUCUGUAUCACACUAAUCUCUUUUCUGUGCUACUGCAUGCUUUCUUGCAUGCAGCCAAUCAUGCAUGGCCAUAUCAGCAUGCAACGCCACCACCAUAUAUGAACAGCCAUGCGUAGGUAUAUAGCAGU
rnacentral:lncRNA from 1 species